rnacentral:rRNA from 1 species
UACAGAGGGUGCGAGCGUUGUUCGGAAUUACUGGGCGUAAAGGGCGCGUAGGCGGCCCGCUAAGUCGAACGUGAAAUCCCCAGGCUCAACCUGGGAACUGCGUCCGAUACUGGCAGGCUUGAAUCCGGGAGAGGGAUGUGGAAUUCCAGGUGUAGCGGUGAAAUGCGUAGAUAUCUGGAGGAACACCGGUGGCGAAGGCGGCAUCCUGGACCGGCAUUGACGCUGAGGAGCGAAAGCUAGGGGAGCAAACGGG